AGGACGAACGCUGGCGGCGUGCUUAACACAUGCAAGUCGAGCGGAAAGGCCCUUCGGGGUACUCGAGCGGCGAACGGGUGAGUAACACGUGAGCAACCUGCCCUUAGCUUCGGGAUAGCUCCGGGAAACCGGAAUUAAUACCGGAUAUGACUAUGGCCGACAUCGGCCAUGGUGGAAAGUUUUUCGGCUAGGGAUGGACUCGCGGCCUAUCAGCUAGUUGGUGAGGUAACGGCUCACCAAGGCGACGACGGGUAGCCGGCCUGAGAGGGCGACCGGCCACACUGGGACUGAGACACGGCCCAGACUCCUACGGGAGGCAGCAGUGGGGAAUAUUGCGCAAUGGGGCGAAAAGCCUGACGCAGCGACGCCGCGUGGGGGAUGAAUGCCUUCGGGUUGUAAACCCCUUUCAGCAGGGACGAAGCGAAAGUGACGGUACCUGCAGAAGAAGCGCCGGCUAACUACGUGCCAGCAGCCGC
rnacentral:rRNA from 1 species